ACCCGGCGGGGCGGGGGCACCGAGCGCCGCCCGGCCCCGCCGCCCCCCUCCGGGGCGCCCCCCAGGCGGGGUUGGGGGGGGGUUGGCGCCAGGAUCCCCCCCCGGAGGGGCGGCGGGCACCGGGAGGGGGGCCCCGACGCCGCCGCACCGAGCCCCGCGGGCACCGGGAGCCCCCAGAGCCCCCCCGCGAGUGACCCGAGCUCCCCCGGGAGCGACGCCGCCCGCAGCGCUUUGUCUGGGGGCGCCGAGAAACGGGAGGGGGGAACAAAGCGGCAGCACGAGGAGCGGCAGCGGAGGGGGGGGAAGCCCGACCCCAAAGGCUGCCCCCAGAAGCAGGGGAUGCGCCCUGGAGGAGGAACCAGGCCCAGGAGGCACGGCCCCAGCGGCUGCGGUGCCCGGCCCUGAGCCCCGAGCUGGUCCCAGCCCUGCCACGGUCACCAGCGUGGAGCAGGCAGAGCCCUGGGAGCCCCCAGAAGGUUCUGCUGGAGGGUCCCAGCCAGAAACGGCCGUCCCCAUCCGCCUGUGCUGGUGUCAGCAGUUUCGCUGGUGUCACAAGGCCAGAAGAAGCCACGAACGCAGGACUUCCCUCUUCCACUCGCAGCUGGAGGAAGGUGACAGCAAAAGAGAAACGACGGAAGGGUCGGUGAGCUUCAGCAUGCCGCAGGAACGCCAGCCCCGUGGCACACAAGGCCCACACCAAGUCCUCAGCAAGCAGCUGCCUCCCGAGGGAAGCCUUCCGGGCUCUGGCUGAGGACCUGGGGCCCUGGCUGCGCUCGGAGCUGCCCUGCAAGAGGCAUCGAGCUCGGGGAGGUCUCGCCCCUUUCCCAGCACACUGCAGUGUACGCAGCAAGAGAAAUUCCUCCUGGGAGCACGGGUUGGUGCAGGGAUUUGCAGCAUCUCCCAGAAUGUGAUCCCGUGUCCUCCACCCCGGUUAUUGAGGGCUGGGGGAGUUAUUUAAGCAUUCCUCAUAGCAGCAGCCCCAAGCCCACAGUGCCUCAAGCUGCCGGCUUUGGGGGGGGUCUUCCCAGCUCUGUCUCAGCCCAGGCUCAGCACUUCGGGACAGCAGCCCCGGAGCUGGGGCAGGAGGGGGUAUUUCUGUGAUUUCCCCCCGCUUCACAGGCUGGGGAGCGGUGGCUGCCCGGGCCUCACGUCACGUCCCGCGGGACAGCGAGGGCACCCAGCUCCCUGCGCCCGCAGCAUCCACCUGGUGCAUCGCAGAAGCCAUCCCUGAAAAUAAAAA